GGUCUAAAAUUAGCAGAGCAGCUGUGCCUAGUGGGUGGCAACACCUCAGCUCACUAGGCCGAGAAUGGGGCCUUCAUGCCAUGGGCUCUGUUGUGUGAGUAGGUCAGGAAUUAAAAGCAAGAAUUUGUUUCUUUGCAGAAUUUCCCCAGGAGCUGCAUGUAUUGCCAGUGUGCUCAAAGAGAAGAGAAAAUGUCUUCUGUUGCCAGGUGGAAGGGAAAGAACAGGGAGGGGUAUGUUGGAAAGAAGCUUCAUAGAAGGGCUGAUUUUCAAGAACGUUCACUAUGGAAAUGACGCCCUUAACGACAGGGUUAGCAGCUCUGAAGUCACUGGGAUGGCGUUUCCCACCAGGUGGAGGAAGCUGGCCUGUAGCUGAAGGACUGACACCCACACCCAGAGCUGCAGAGAGAGGGAACGUAACAGCAGCAUGCCAGAUCCAUUUCCAGCUCUUCCGAGGUGCAGCCACACCUUGACCUUCCUGCAGUCCUCUUAGCCUUCCAAAUACAUUUUCCUUUGAGUGUAAAUGAGUUUAAGGGAGCUAAUGAACCAUGACAAGAACAAAAGGCCGGCAGCCAAGAGGAGGGGGAAACAGGAGCUGGCAGACCAGACCGGACCAUGGCUCCUGAGCUGGUUGUUUCCCUUCUCAAAGACGCAAAGCUGGCCACCUUGCUGAGUGCACUGGAUGGCACACAGUGACAACAAAUGACACAGAAGCCUCUCUUCUCGAGGACUUGAGGAGUUAAAUAUCUGAUGGAGAAGAGAAGACAGGACCCAGGCACAAACAGCGCAAUCUGUAUGAACAAAUACAAGAAUCACAUACUCCACAGUCCCAUGAACGAUGGGGAUAGAUAGCAAAGGGUUCCCCAGCAGCCCUGGCAGGCACAUAGACAGCCACAGCUAUGCGGGCCCUUAGGUCAGCUCUCUCAGAUGAUCUGAAACCACUUCAGUCUGUCUGAAGCUCUCAUGAACAUUUCCGGUUAAGUAUUGUUUUCAAUAAUUUAUUCUGGAGGAGAUGUUGGCUCCCCUGGGAAUCACUUUGCAGCAAUCCCCUCCAGAGACCAGCUACAGACAUCAGGCGCCAGGAUAGAAGAGUCACUCUGUGUAGACGGUGGACCAGGAAUAAGGUUGCCUCCAAAAAAUAAUAGCUGACAUCCACCCCACCUUCCACUCUUCAAUCAAGCCAGUCAGGCAAUGAACCUUUUCACACCUGAGGGAUUAUUUUUGCUUUUGUCUGAUUCUGCUGUGUUAAAGGAAACAAGUGUUGAGAAAGGUAAGUUGUAAAAGAAAACUGCUGCCUUUCCCUGAUUAACUGGGAACAGACAUAGAGGAGAUUUUCUUCUUAGGGAAGUCGAAGUGGGAGAACAGAAUUGGGGGUUCUGUUCCCUGGUUAGCUCUUUGUUCUGGGGGGCUGUCCUAUGCAUUGCAGGAUGUUUAGCAGUACCCUGGCCUCUGUGACUAUGCACUUCCUCUGCGUGUGACCACUGACAGUGUCUCCUGAUGCUGCCCAAAAUCUCCCUGUGGGCAGUAUCACCUGCAGCUGAGAGUCACUGCCACAAAUUAAAGGGGAUGGAGUCCCAGGCAGCACCAGGGAUGCCCCCGGCCGCCUGCUUUGGAAAGGGCUCGACUCCCUAAAAUAGAAACAAACCCCAGAAGUGUCUGUAGGUCACGGAAUUCAGCAUGGCUGAAAUUUGAGUGAUGUGCACUGCUUUCUCAAGAGAAAAAAAAAAAAGGAUGAUUUCCAGUGUUAACAUAAACUGCUUUUAUAAAGAUUGUUAGUUGGAUGUACACAAACAUAAAAUUGGGUGUACAACCCUUGUAAGUUUUCUACAACUAUAAAAUCAAAAUAAGUUCAUGAUUUGACAAAUCAAA